rnacentral:siRNA from 1 species
UUAAAUCAGGAACUAUAGAUC